rnacentral:rRNA from 1 species
AUGGAGACGGGGGAUAUCGUCCCCCGUGGGGUCCGUUUUCCUGGUUCUAGAGUUAAGGUUUGGUGGGAUGGAACUUAUGUGGUGGUGGCGGCGUCUUGUCCAAUAAAGUCUCCCCAACUUCAGCCUCAUCUCGGCGGCGACGUCGAGAAGCUCGUGGGCGUGGUGUGGUUCUUGAUGACUUCUUCUGCCUGUGGGGAUAUGUGGAUCAUCGAGGAGCUCCAUUGGCGUUUCUUCCUCCUUCAUCUCCGGGACAGAUGUGGUCUUCUUGACCUAUUUGGUGACUUCCCGUCCGGAUCCAACUACUUCAGGCUGGCUCAGGAAGGAGUGGCAGCGGCGGCGCGCCGUCGACACGGUCUGGAGGUGGUAGAAGAAGGGAAUCUCAAGAAUUCCGUUGUAAUUCUUGUUUUUGUUAACGUGUUUUGUACUGUCCAGUGUUUCUUUUAA